GAUGAACGCUGGCGGCGUGCCUAAUACAUGCAAGUCGAGCGAAUGGAUUAAGAGCUUGCUCUUAUGAAGUUAGCGGCGGACGGGUGAGUAACACGUGGGUAACCUGCCCAUAAGACUGGGAUAACUCCGGGAAACCGGGGCUAAUACCGGAUAACAUUUUGAACCGCAUGGUUCGAAAUUGAAAGGCGGCUUCGGCUGUCACUUACGGAUGGACCCGCGUCGCAUUAGCUAGUUGGUGAGGUAACGGCUCACCAAGGCAACGAUGCGUAGCCGACCUGAGAGGGUGAUCGGCCACACUGGGACUGAGACACGGCCCAGACUCCUACGGGAGGCAGCAGUAGGGAAUCUUCCGCAAUAGACGAAAGUCUGACGGAGCAACGCCGCGUGAGUGAUGAAGGCUUUCGGGUCGUAAAACUCUGUUGUUAGGGAAGAACAAGUGCUAGUUGAAUAAGCUGGCACCUUGACGGUACCUAACCAGAAAGCCACGGCUAACUACGUGCCAGCAGCCGCAGUAA
rnacentral:rRNA from 1 species